AGCCAGUCAGAAUACACAGUGAAAACUAUAAACCGGAGGCCAGGCGAACAAAACCAGAAAGAAAAAAAAAAACAUACAAAGAAAAACGUAUACACAUUUUCUCGCUUGAUUAUUUCUUUCUUCUUCUCUUUUUGAUCUCAUCAUCAUCAUCUUCCAAUAAAGCCUCAUCAAGUAGGAACUCAUUUUAUGCAGAGCAGCAGUUGCAUUCAAGACCUUGCUGCUUUCCAGGUUUCCACACCUUGUAACACAACUUGGUGAGGACUGUUAAAGAGAAACACUUGUCAACAAGUAUUGUGUCGUAGCAAUAGGGAAUGGUUAUUCAGUCCAGUAUCGAUGGAAGGCAAUACUGGAAAUUUCCUCUCCAACGAGAAGCAAUCAUUAGAGGUUUCUACAUCUGACAAUGAAGUAAAAAUGCCUACAGAAAACAGUGGAAGCACUUCUGUAUUUGUCAAUCAUGGAAUGUUGUGGUUUUUAAAGUGUAAUAAAGAGACAAAAAUUUUCGUGCAUCUAUUAUUAAACUAACUCUUUUCUUUUAGUGGGGAGGAUGGUAAGUACUUGAUAACUCAUUCUAUUUUAUCAUCGUAUUUAAUUUCACAUAUAUAAUUAUACAUAUAUAUAUACAAAGGAGUUGGGUGGUGUGUUUGAGUUUAACUUUUAUCUGAAAGUCAAUCCUAAUUUCUUGUGCUUUUUCUCAGUCAUUUUCUGUCUGAAAACCUACUGAAUUUUUCCAUCCAGGAGUCAUUUGCAUUCACUAAUGAUUUCAUUUAACCAUAAAUAUAAAGGAAUAAAGCAUCUCCAAUCAUUCAUCAAUUUUUUCAUCUAAUUUGAUUCCAAAUUUAAGUAAAAAGCUUGAUUUGAUAUGAAUUACUCCAAUCCUUUUAUCAAUCCUCUUGUACCAAAUUUCCCCUUUCAUCAAAUUUGAUGAAAAAAAUACCUCCAGCGCUUCAUCUUUUUAAUUUUUCAUCAAAUUCAAAUUUGAUGAAAAAAAUGACUCUCUCUUGAUUGGAUGAACAUUUGAUGAAAGAACUGGAGAUGAUUUUUGAGCACUUUUUCAUCAAAUCUAAAUUUGAUGAUGGAAAAAGUGAAGGAUUGGGAGCAAAAAAUCUGCAGUCUACCACAGAGCCAUCAAGAAGAAAAUUCAACAAGAGAAAUUUUGUUAUCCAGUGGAGGCUACAGAUGAAUGGGAGAAAGUUCUUGAAACGUGUGAAAUCCAUUUCUUUUGACUCUAACUAGGAUAAGUCUGUGAUGAGCCUCCAAAAGCAAUUCAGCUUUAAAAAGUACACAGAGUUUAUUGCUCUAACUAGGGUAAGUCCUCUAAUUCUUACGAUGUUUCAAGAAGAAGAAACUCACAUUUUGGUAGUAAAUAAAACUUUCUAGCCUCUAACAUUGAUGAGAGAUAGAAGUCCCCCUUUUUCCCUUAUAAAUUCAAUUAUAUUCCUCAUAAUUUACAGCAUCUUGUGUCAUAAUUCAUACAAUAUAUAAUACAUUUAAAUAUUCCAAACGUCUCUACUUAUUGUACCCACUUUUAGAUGUGUCCCAAUAUCCAAAUAUUUAGGAAGAUUUAAUGCUUAGACACACACCCGCAUCGAUACCUGAGUCCACAUAACAUAGACUAAGAUACAGAUUAAUGUCAUGAGUUGAGGAGUUUCUGAUUGCUACAAACUGAUUGUAGGAAAAAGGAAAUAAUACAAGAUGGAAAAUGCUCAGAUCAUAGCCUCUAUGGCUUCAUCCACAGCACUUUCACACGUUGUGGGGCCCACCUAUGUGAGAGGGGAGGGUGUGGAUUUAUCCAUUUACAAAUUUUGGUCAUUUAUUCUUGGAUGGGGGAAUAGGAUGAUAUGGUCUUUAAUUUUUUUCUUUCCUCGAUGUAGCUCGUGGAUGACAAAAAUGUUGAAGGUGAACGGAAAUGUGAUUCUGGGUCCCAUGAAUCUACUGUUUGGAAUGGAUUGAAAAAGAAAGUAAUUCCUAAUGACUUGCUCAAUCUAGAAUCAUUUUCCAAACUAAGCAAUAAUCAAAUCCCCACCCUCCUCCAAUGGUAGUCUCAUAUUCCAACUCAAUCUAGAAAAAAGAAAAAGAAAAUGUGGACUCUAAUAAUAAUAAAUUCCCACUAUAUCACCUAAUAAAAUAGAAACACCUAUUCAUAUUUAUCAAAAAAAAUAAAAAUAGAAACACCUAUUCUCUCUCUUGAAAUCUUCUCCCGCUUUCUCUUUCGUCCAAGGUGAUGAACAAAGAGUGUUUUAGACAAUUAUAUAAAACCUUAUUCCAUUUCUAUGUUCUAAAAAGGUUAAAUCAAACACUUGAAUGCAUUUUAAUAUUUUUUUCUUGCAUAAGAUUCCUGAAUUAUCGAAGCACUUGACUGGGAUUUCUUUUCAUUCCCGCUCUAGAUUUUGGCCAUCCAAACAUAGACUUAAAAUGUGUUAUGGAUGAGAUUUUUUUAUUUUUUUAUUUUUAAACAUUUUGAUGUUUAUAAGUAGUACUAAUUGGAAAGGAUUGCUCCUUUUUGUUUGUUUGUUUGUUUUUUUUUUUUUUUUUUUUUUGAUUUUU